ACUCCUGCGGGAGGCAGCAGUGGGGAAUUUUGGACAAUGGGCGAAAGCCUGAUCCAGCAAUGCCGCGUGAGUGAAGAAGGCCUUCGGGUUGUAAAGCUCUUUUGUCAGGGAAGAAACGGUGAGAGCUAAUAUCUCUUGCUAAUGACGGUACCUGAAGAAUUAGCACCGGCUAACUACGUGCCAGCAGCCGCGGUAAUACGUAGGGUGCAAGCGUUAAUCGGAAUUACUGGGCGUAAAGCGUGCGCAGGCGGUUUUGUAAGUCUGAUGUGAAAUCCCCGGGCUCAACCUGGGAAUUGCAUUGGGGACUGCAAGGCUAGAAUCUGGCAGAGGGGGGUAGAAUUCCACGUGUAGCAGUGAAAUGCGUAGAUAUGUGGAGGAACACCGAUGGCGAAGGCAGCCCCCUGGGUCAAGAUUGACGCUCAUGCACGAAAGCGUGGGGAGCAAACAGGAUUAGAUACCCCAGUAGUCCCAUGA
rnacentral:rRNA from 1 species